CUAGUACUCCCUCCGUCUAGAAUUACUUGUCACAGAAAUGGAUAAAAAUGGAUGUAUCUAGAACUAAAAUACAUCUAGAUAUAUCCAUUUCUCCGACAAGUAUUUCCGGACGGAGGGAGUACAUG
rfam:Triticum aestivum genome assembly, contig: Triticum_aestivum_CS42_TGACv1_scaffold_093012_2AL